rnacentral:RNase_P_RNA from 1 species
GGAGCCGGUCAGACAACCGCCGCCGUGACGGUCACGGGGGAGGAAAGUCCGGGCUCCGCAGGGCAGUGUGCCAGUUAACGGCUGGGCGGCGCGAGCCGACGGAAAGUGCAACAGAGAGCAAACCGCCGAUGGCCCCGCAAGGGGAUCAGGCAAGGGUGAAACGGUGCGGUAAGAGCGCACCGCGAGUCUGGCAACAGACCGGCACGGCAAACCCCACACGGAGCAAGGCCAAAUAGGGAAGGAGCUGUCGCAAGACAGCAGGCGUGGCCCACGUCCCUUCCGGGUAGGCUGCUGGAACCCACCGGUGACGGUGGGUCUAGAGGAAUGGUUGUCCCGGCCGUGGUCGCGCAAGCGGCGGCGGUUAUGACAGAACCCGGCUUAUAGGCCGGCUCCCACU